AGGCGCUAUAAUGGGAUGCUUACAAAAAAGGUGCAAGGGUGUAAGCGAUGCCGGGAUAUGAGGGAUGCAGGAAUGUGAGGAAUACCGGGAUGUGAGGAAUGCGGGGAUGUAAGGAAUGCAGAGAUGUGAGGAAAUUCUGUAUAAGACCCCCGACCGACCCCUGUGGCAAGGCGGCGGGGAAGUGUCAGAUUCCUAUUGACUAAAACCCCACGGCGACCGACUUUGGCGCCAAUCAAGUGGUCAUCAUUCAACGAACGUCUUAAAGUUAACGCAAAUAAUCUUUACUUUGAAUUUUUAACAAAAAUUUAAUGCUCGAUCGAUACUGUGGUACUAUCAUUGUAAGAGUAUAUAACAUUUUUCUGCCUUGCAUGUACAUAAUUUGUUAAUAAAGAUAUACUUUUAAUAUUAAA